UACGGAGGGUGCAAGCGUUAAUCGGAAUUACUGGGCGUAAAGCGCGCGUAGGCGGCUUUGUAAGUCGGAUGUGAAAGCCCUGGGCUUAACCUGGGAAUUGCAUUCGAUACUGCUUAGCUAGAGUAUGGUAGAGGGAAGUGGAAUUUCCGGUGUAGUGGUGAAAUGCGUAGAUAUCGGGAGGAACACCAGUGGCGAAGGCGACUACCUGGCCUGUUUCUUGACGCUGAGGCGCGAAAGCUAGGGGAGCAAACGGG
rnacentral:rRNA from 1 species